rnacentral:rRNA from 1 species
CCUGAACGCUGGCGGCGUGGCUAAGACAUGCAAGUCGCACAGGCCUAGCAAUAGGUCAGUGGCGAACGGGUGAGUAAAGAAUCGCUAACGUACCCCGGACUCUGGGAUAGCUACCCGAAAGGGUAGGUAAUACCAGAUGAUAUAACCGCUCUGCAUGGAGUGGUUCUCAAAGGUCCGCCGGUCUGGGAGCGGGCGAUUUCGUACCAGCUAGUUGGUGAGGUAACGGCUCACCAAGGCGACGACGCGUAGCCGGACUGAGAGGUUGGCCGGCCACAUUGGGACUGAGACACUGCCCAGACUCCUACGGGGGGCUGCAGUAACGAAUCUUCCGCAAUGCACGCAAGUGUGACGGAGCGACGCCGCGUGUGGGACGAAGCCCUUCGGGUGUAACCACUGUCAGGGGGACAGAAAGUUCUGAUCGUCCCCAGAGGAAGGCACGGCUAACUCUGUGCCAGCAGCCG